rnacentral:rRNA from 1 species
UACAGAGGUCCCAAGCGUUGUUCGGAUUCAUUGGGCGUAAGGGUGCGUAGGCGGCGCGGUAAGUCGGGUGUGAAAUCUCGGAGCUUAACUCCGAACUGCAUUCGAUACUGGCGUGCUUGAGGACUGGAGAGGAGACUGGAAUUCAUGGUGUAGCAGUGAAAUGCGUAGAGACUCAUGAGGAAGACCAGUGGCGAAGGCGGGUCUCUGGACAGUUC